GUUUUUAAUUAUCAUCUAUCUCGAUCGAUUUUUGACACUAUUUGUAUGGAACUUACCUCCGUCAAUAUCCUAUCAGUAGUAAGCAAAUUCGGAGAUACAUAGAAUGCUGAAAAUUGCCGUGAUCCAAGCUGGAAAUAUGCAACUGUAUUCCACAAUAAGACACACGUCAUCCCGGCGAACUUGGAGACUUUCGUCAUAUAUUUCGACACCAGCGAAAUGAUAAGCUUCGUUUGUGUCAACGUUAGUACCAUUAACCAUAAUUAUCCCAACGUGGCAUUCUCCAGUCUGUUCAACCGACUGAUAAUUAGCUUUGACGAACCCAACAAAGUAACUUCAUUGGCGAGCGUCCUGGCGAUGCAUCACGGAUACCGACGAAGUGAUAAAAAUGUGUAAACGACACACACAACACACAUAAAGAUUAAACACAGACACACAUACACGUCAACACACACAUAAACAUCACUGACGAAGAAUUGUAAUACUUACGCCAUACAUAAUAUAAAUAAAUGAACUUAA